GACAGAGGGUGCAACCGUUGUUCGGAAUUACUGGGCGUAAAGCGUGUGUAGGCUGCUACGAAAGUCGGAUGUGAAAGCCCCAGGCUCAACCUGGGAAGUGCACUCGAUACUGCGUAGCUUGAGUAUCGGAGAGGUUGGUGGAAUUCUCGGUGUAGAGGUGAAAUUCGUAGAUAUCGAGAGGAACGCCGGUGGCGAAGGCGGCCAACUGGACGAAUACUGACGCUGAGACACGAAAGCGUGGGGAGCAAACAGG
rnacentral:rRNA from 1 species